AGUGAACGCUGGCGGUAGGCCUAACACAUGCAAGUCGAACGGCAGCACAGUAAGAGCUUGCUCUUACGGGUGGCGAGUGGCGGACGGGUGAGGAAUACAUCGGAAUCUACUUUUUCGUGGGGGAUAACGUAGGGAAACUUACGCUAAUACCGCAUACGACCUACGGGUGAAAGCAGGGGAUCUUCGGACCUUGCGCGAUUGAAUGAGCCGAUGUCGGAUUAGCUAGUUGGCGGGGUAAAGGCCCACCAAGGCGACGAUCCGUAGCUGGUCUGAGAGGAUGAUCAGCCACACUUGAACUGAGACACGGUCCAGACUCCUACGGGAGGCAGCAGUGGGGAAUAUUGAACAAUGGGCGCAAGCCUGAUCCAGCCAUACCGCGUGGGUGAAGAAGGCCUUCGGGUUGUAAAGCCCUUUUGUUGGGAAAGAAAAGCAGCAGGUUAAUACCCCGCUGUUCUGACGGUACCCAAAGAAUAAGCACCGGCUAACUUCGUG
rnacentral:rRNA from 1 species